rnacentral:lncRNA from 1 species
ACUCUAGAAUUUUUCUCAUCUUUGAAUAGAGGAUAUGAAAUUUUCUCUCCAUGGUCUAGGGAGAGUUAUGGCUCCAGGAAAGAAGAGAAAAUGUAUUAUAUUUCCCACUUCUCUUCUAUCUUGGCAGGAAGGCAGGGAUUUCAACCUGGGCAACAAGUCCACAGAACAUGAGAUUUCUGAAGGUGUGUGGGAUACAUCAUGGUUACAUAAAAAUCCUUUCACUAUAGUUCCUACUUCCCUAUCUUCAAAAUGAUUCCCUGAAGACUUCCGCCAUGGCGGUCUAAAGCCUAACCUCUGACCUGUGGAUGGAAAAUUGAACUCCUUGAUGUGAUCUCUGCACAUCAUGCAACCCUAAACCUAAAUAUUCUCUAUGUGGGAGCCCCAUUAUGUUCCUUUUUAGUCUAAUACAUUUUAAGUCGUCUUAAAAAAUUAUAUUUUGUUUUCUUUUAUAUGGUCGAUUUUACCUUGUUUUCUUUGACUAUUACUUGUUGUCUUGUAUGAGAUUCUACUGGUCUCAAGGCUUAAACCUCACAAUCUUCAGGGUCUGAUGGAUUUCUCUCUAUUUUCUAAGUUCCCUGGGAUAUGUUUGAUGAGUUUUUGUGGCAGAGAAGCAGAGAAAGGAGAAAGGUGAUGUCUAUACUACUUCCUUUUUCUCCCCAGCCACAAAUGCCAGCGUCUAUAAAGAGACCCUGAGAAACAAGCUCUGUGCAGAGUCACUUCUAAGAAAUACCAGGAUAAAAUGUAGGUGAGAGACAUUUGUGUGAAAAAAGGGAUGAGAGAGAGGAGGAAGGAUUGAGAAAAUUUUCAAGGCAGAAAGGGACCUAUAUCUUCUAAUUUGGCAAAAUGGGAGAGGUAGGUA